UAGGGAAUCUUCCACAAUGGACGCAAGUCUGAUGGAGCAACGCCACGUGAGUGAAGAAGGUUUUCGGACCGUAAAGCUCUGUUGUUGGUGAAGAAGGAUAGAGGUAGUAACUGGCCUUUAUUUGACGGUAAUCAACCAGAAAGUCACGGCUAACUACGUGCCAGCAGCCGCGGUAAUACGUAGGUGGCAAGCGUUGUCCGGAUUUAUUGGGCGUAAAGCGAGCGCAGGCGGAAGAAUAAGUCUGAUGUGAAAGCCCUCGGCUUAACCGAGGAAUUGCAUCGGAAACUGUUUUCUUGAGUGCAGAAGAGGAGAGUAGAACUCCAUGUGUAGCGGUGGAAUGCGUAGAUAUAUGGAAGAAUACCAGUGGCGAAGGCGGCUCUCUGGUCUGCAACUGACGCUGAGGCUCGAAAGCAUGGGUAGCGAACAGGAUUAGAUACCCUUGGUAGUCCAUGCCGUAAACGAUGAGUGCUAAGUGUUGGGAGGCUUCCGCCUCUCAGUGCUGCAGCUAACGCAUUAAGCACUCCGCCUGGGGGAGUACGACCGCAAGGUUGAAAC
rnacentral:rRNA from 1 species